UACGGGGGGGGCAAGCGUUGUUCGGAAUUACUGGGCGUAAAGGGCUCGUAGGUGGCCAACUAAGUCAGACGUGAAAUCCCUCGGCUUAACCGGGGAACUGCGUCCGAUACUGGUUGGCUUGAGUUUGGGAGAGGGAUGCGGAAUUCCAGGUGUAGCGGUGAAAUGCGUAGAUAUCUGGAGGAACACCGGUGGCGAAGGCGGCAUCCUGGACCAAUACUGACGCUGAGGAGCGAAAGCCAGGGGAGCAAACGGGG
rnacentral:rRNA from 1 species